AGAAUCAGUGGUUCUAAUCAUUGGGAUCAUAGUCUAGAAUUGGGAGCGGUACCCCACCUGCUGCUAGAGGGGACUCUGAGUCCAUCUGAGAACAAAGGCACAGACAACAGCCACUUCUCUCAGGAAGAGGACCAUCGGUUUCCUCUGGCAGGCAUUCCAGAGAAAGCCCCCUUUUCUACUACCAACACCUUACAUACCCUGUGUUCUUCUCUGGACUUCUAUUAAUGAGCGAUUAUUCUGCUUUCCUCCCAGGUUGCAGAAAAUGACACUGUGGUCUCUGCCAUCCAUGUGUACAGAUGAUACGAGGAGUGAACAGCAUAGAUUCCCAGCAACACUCUCCUGGAAGAAGAUAAAACCACACCUUAUUGAGGGAUGGUGAAAGAGACUUUUGAAACCAGAAGAAAUUGUAUGCUGUGUCAUUAAACGUGAUUUCUUUUUAAGAA